GCUGAUUCCUCGACCUUCCUCUCCGCCGCUUUCUCGAUCUGCCUCGGCGCCGUUUGGAUCGUUCCGGCAACGGCUUCGUUGGUCUUCAGCACCGGCACCUACAUCCUAAGGACUACGAUCUCGUGGCUGGUUUCAUCGGUUCUGGGCACCAAAUUGCCGAGGGGACUUCCACAACUUGUAUUGCUUGAUUUCCCUGUCUGUGACUACAAUCUUGUCCUAGGUUGGCGACCAUGAUGUCAACCAUUUACAAAUUCAACAGAAUUCAUCAUCACCACAAGACCUUGUUAAUGAUUCUAUGCCAAGGGUGAGGGAAACCAGGGAUCUUACGAGUGAAUCUGUUUCAAGACCGAACAGCAGCGGACUAGAACUGAACACCCACACCUAGCUCGCUCAAAAAGAAUAUGUACUUCUUCCAUCAAGGCUGCUUCCAAAGUAGUUUCAAAGACUUCAACAUAUCCCAACAAGCGGAAUGUUGCAUAUGGUACUAUUCGGAGUAUUGAUCCAAGAACUAAGGCUGGUGGUAUUGAGUUAGGUGCUGAAUUUGCCCUUGUGCAUAGAUCAACCUAUUCUUGAUAAUGAGGACUUGGUAAGGGAAGUUUCUGAUUGCAAGACACUUGGUGAGGCUUUCACUUCAAGAUACUUAAUUGCCUGGUCUUCAGCUUUUCUAAGUUAAAAACAUCUCUUCCACAUUCUGAAAAAUCAUAUUUGUGUACAUUUAAUCACAUAUAUCUAAGGUGCAAAUUUCUUUUACAGAUUCGAGAGAAGGAUACUUGAGUUGCAGCUGAAUUCUUGGAUCAAGAAGCAAAUAAAAUUUGAAGAUUUUAGCUACCAAUAGUUGUAGUUUACAUUGAUAGAUUUAAAAAUGGAAUAUCAUCCAGACAAUCUUUUUCUUUCGUCGAAUUGAUGCAAAUGCUAUGGUGUAAUAUUCUCCAUAGUUGCGUUCUCUAUGCUCAAAAUGAUAUGACUGAUAUCUUUAUUGUAAUGCAUAUGUCUCAUACACUCUUGUA